CAGGACUCCUGGGCUUCCUCCCUCCUUGUCUGCCAGCCCCACGAUUAUGCUGAAAAAUCCACAUAACUGUUCAGUGCACGUGCUGCUCGAUAGUCUUGGAACAACCAGGCCUCUAUAGCAUUUUUGUUCUUGAAGGAAUUGUGGACAUCUAUUUUCUGCAAGGCACAAAAGGAGACAGUGCACUGUCACGGAUGGGACCUUGAGCUCUAAAGGCAAACAGACCAGAGGGGAUGUCGCUGCUGCCGCCCUGGAACACACUUUGAGCAUCAAUGGACCAGAGAACAGAUUUCCUCUCUCCUUGUUCAGCAUUCUGUUCAUUAAUCCACACUGAGUCUGGGUCUAAAAGGAAGAGCGGGCAAGACAAGGUGGUAAAGCCAUGGCCGUUUUGCAGAAAGGGAGCUGACACACCUACAUAAUCUGUGCUCUGGGGUCCAAACACGAUAGGACCUCUGGUUUCUGGGCUCAGCAUCCAGAGCUUGCCACGCCCCACAUUGUCUUUUUUACAUAUUCGGAGGCAUGCCAUGUUUAACAGAAUGUGACAGACUUGGGUGUCUAAAUGUCAAAUCAUGUGGGCUUCUUAAUCCUGGAGUUUGAGCAGGUACAAUCCUGGAAUAAUUGCCCCUGGGGUUGAAGGGAAGGGAAAGUUUGCUUCAGAUAUAAUUGAUAAGCU